GGACCGGAGGCGCGACCCCUCGGCCCACCUUGAGGCCCGGCCUAGGACUGGAGGCGCGACCCCUCGGCCCACCUUGAGGCCCGGCCUAGGACCGGAGGCGCGACCCCUGGGCCCACCUUGAGGCCCGGCCUAGGACUGGAGGCGCGACCCCUCGGCCCACCUUGAGGCCCGGCCUAGGACCGGAGGCGCGACCCCUGGGCCCACCUGGCGGCCCGGCCGGCACAGCCCGCCUCUCCUCUCCAGGCCAGGGCCCCACACCUUCCGCCUGACAGCCAGCCAAGCUCUUCAGUCCCCCGCCCUCCACCUGCCAGGGAGGCUCCGGGCGUUGUACCUGCCACCACGGGACGGAGUUUUGCUCUUGUUGCCCAAGCUGGAGUGCAAUGGUGCGAUCUUCGCUUACUGCAACCUCUGCUUCCUGGGUUCAAGUGAUUCCCCUGCCUCAGCCUCCCGAGUAGCAGGGAUUACAGGUACAAAGCACUGGGAAUACAACCUUGAACAAGACAAGAAUCCUGGCCUUCAAGGAACUUCGAACCUUUUGGGGGAUAUGAUAAGACACAUUAGGAAUCACCAUGUUAAUGGUUAUCUUUCUUGAAGGAUAUAAGUCCAGACACAUAUACUCACAGAAAUGAGUUAUUUAAAGAAGACGGUCCAGAUUCCACAGUCCAAAAAAAAAAGAGGUUUGCCCUGCUUCUGAAGGAGUCAGGGUAUGAAUGCAGAGGUCUUCCUGUUGGCUCACAUAUCAGAUCUUCAACGUCAACAUUAAAUGCGAGUGAUGCUUCCCCCUCUGUGAAUGUGGCUUUGGGUAUGGCUAAUCCACACCCUGCACUCUGGCCUUCAGAAGCCCAGGGAGAGAAGCCUCCCAGAAGCAACCUUCCAGAACCUUCUCCAUCCUCCCACCGACCUCCCCAGCCCCUGUCCUCUCUUUGAAUCUCGUUGUCAAGUUCUUCCCGCAGACACCUGGCUCCUUGAGGGGAGGUGCAGCUUUCAUCUGACCAUGCAGGCGUGCUUUGCAGUGGGUAGAGCAGUGCUUUCCUCCUCCCAGCUGCACACUGGAAUCACCUGGAGAGUCCAGAAACUUCCCGCCUCAGUGAAAGAACAUCAGUGUAUCAGCACAGCAAAUAUUCCAAAUGCCAGGCUGGAUUCCCUCCAAUUACCAGGACCUCCAGGCUUCUCCUCCUUUCAAGAACUUUCUGACCCUGGAUCCAGUCUAAAUGUUGGUUAUAAACUCACCUGACAUCCACAGGGCCCUUCCAAAAUACUGUCAAGGCUGACUGCUGGUGCCUGGAACCUGCACACCCUCCUGGGACUCUGCAUCUCUGCUGGGGCUGGUUUCUCCUCUGAGCCACCUUAAGGAAUCCCACCCUGACCCGGUCAGAGCUCACCAUGCCUCCCUCUCCUACUUGCUCAGCAUUUUGUGUCUAUCUAGACUGAAGCCUUUGCUUUCUCUCUGUGAUUAUGGUGAAAGUUCAGUUUGCUUUCCUAUCUCUAGAAUGUCAGCACGAAGGCAGAGGCAUGGUCUCCUGAGUUCCAUAACCCCAAAGCCUAACUCCCUGCCUGCCACACUGAGGGGCUUAGUAGACAUUGACUUACUAAAUUGAAUAGUUGAGUAAUAAUGCUCUUUGAAAUAAUUUGGAGUUAGAUCUUGAGCCUUGUGUGGCCAGAGGAUGGGUGAGGACACAUCAUAAAAACUAAAGGUAACUGAGCAUGCCAGUGGUUGGGGUGAGAAAUUUGCAUGGAGCACUCCAGACACAGAGGCAGCAAAACCCAAGUGCUGGGAAGUCAGAGUGAGAGAGUGAAGGGGCAGUGAGUGCUUCUUUAGGAGCUGGAUCAAAACCUAAGAUGAUCUGGCCACAUGGUGCAGACUGAGCACACACUUGGGAGAGAAAUGGGCCAGGAGGAGAGGAGAGAGGUUCACCACAGGACAGUGGAUGACUGGGAAUAGAAGCCCUCCCCAUGGUGGACCAAGAAGUCUGUGAAGCUGAGAGAAAGACAAAAGAAAUCACGACUUCUGUAGGUAGCUGGGAUGGAAACCUCAGGGGUGACAGGGUCUUUAAAGGAAAUCUCAAGGAAGGCAUCAUGUUCUGGGUGUGCUCCAGGGAUGCUGAGUAAGAAAAGACCAGCCUUUCUGUGUGUGUCUUUACUCUGCCACAAGGCACCUGGGCUCCUAAAUGACCAAUACACAUGUGCUAUACUGGUGCCAAGAAAGAAGGGUGUUUUGUAGGAAAGUCAAGGUGAGAGGAGGUGCCCAGGACUUGGCUCCUUUCUUUGAAGGGUGACGGUGUAAAUUCUCCAUGCUGGGGAUCCUACUGAUGGAUGGAGGCAUGUCGAUCUCAUCAUUUCACAGAGUGGGGAGCUAUGGCCACAACGUGCCUAUCACACAAGUCCAGCCUCACGUCAGCUGGACACCAGCUGUUCUGACACUUGUCAGCACAUGGGGCACCCGGAAGUUCAUGGUGUUCUGCAAAGAACGCCACAAAACAGUGAGCUCAACUUCUUGAAAGUCAUAAUGUGUUGCUAAGUCCGAUCCCAGAUCCUAAAAAUAAUAUGAGGUAGUGGCCAUUGAACAGAAAAAAUUUACAUCUUAAACUUGAAGAUAAGUACAAGUGUACCUUUUUCUACCACUGUUGUUCAGUUUUAUUAUAUUGACAAGCACCUCUGCCCACCCUGUGGGGUAAAACUGUUUGAAAGUGUUUAUGAAAGUUUUAUAUAAAUAUUGGUUGAUCAAAUGUACAAAAUAUGCAUGAUGGCACCAUAUUGUGUAUAAUAGUGACAAAUACAGUCUAUGUGGGUGGAGAAACAAGCUCGGUGUUGU
rnacentral:lncRNA from 1 species